rnacentral:lncRNA from 1 species
AACUAGGUUAUGAUAGGUGGGGAAACAUAAAUAGCACAAGGUUCUCCUGAGGUUUGUGGUUUUUAGGGAAGUGUCUUCCAAGUGCUUAGAGUUGACUCUACAACUGUCCUGCCUUGUUCCUAAAUAGGCUCAGAGGUAUUUAAGAAUUAAUAAAUAUGUCCUUACUUGAGACGGAUCAGUAAUGCACCUGCCCAGCAUUUUGCUCAAGCGACAUAAAUCACAGCGACCAUGCCCUUUGGUGCUCCCCUAGUCUCAGCUUCCCUGUUGCUCCUUUAAGCUACCAGGCUCCAAAGGAGGUAGUUAGGGGGUUGUGAUAGCAAUGGGUUUUUUAAAAAAUUUUUUUUCAACGUUUUUAUUUAUUUUUGGGACAGAGAGAGACAGAGCAUGAACGGGGGAGGGGCAGAGAGAGAGGGAGACACAGAAUCGGAAACAGGCUCCAGGCUCUGAGCCAUCAGCCCAGAGCCUGACGCGGGGCUCGAGCUCACGGACCGCGAGAUCGUGACCUGGCUGAAGUCAGACGCUUAACCGACUGCGCCACCCAGGCGCCCCAGGGGGUUGUGAUAGCAAUGGGGUUUUUAAUUCAGGGGUUGGCGAAGGGUAGCAAUGAAGUUCUAGAAGAGACCGAGUAUUCAUCCUUCUGGCGAGGACAUCUCCCAUGUCAAGGAUGGGGACCACUGGUGGCAAGACCCCAUUGCCAAGAACUCCCAGCAGAUGUCAUUGCUUUCAUUUUUAGUGAUGGACUACCAUGUUUUCUUAGUGUUUCCAAGGGUCUCUGGCCUUUUCUGUCCAAUUUGCUCCCUUCAGCCUCCAGAGUAAUGAACUCAGUAAUAAAAUCAAUUGAAGCAUGAGUCCAUUAGUUUCAGCUCUCUUUUCCACUCUGUCCUCACCAAUUUCCCUAGUGCAAACAGUUCCUGUGGUGAGGACGUGCUGCAGUAUAUAUGGUUUUUUGCAAGAGGGAAAAAAACUGUGCUGAUUUGAUACCAGCCCACAACUUUAUGCAAG